UACGGAGGGGGCUAGCGUUGUUCGGAAUUACUGGGCGUAAAGCGCACGUAGGCGGCUUUGUAAGUUAGAGGUGAAAGCCCAGGGCUUAACCCUGGAAUUGCCUUUAAGACUGCAUCGCUAGAAUCGUAGAGAGGUAAGUGGAAUUCCGAGUGUAGAGGUGAAAUUCGUAGAUAUUCGGAAGAACACCAGUGGCGAAGGCGACUUACUGGACACGUAUUGACGCUGAGGUGCGAAAGCGUGGGGAGCGAACAGG
rnacentral:rRNA from 1 species